GGGGAAUAUUGGGCAAUGGAGGCAACUCUGACCCAGCCAUGCCGCGUGAGUGAAGAAGGUUUUCGGAUUGUAAAGCUCUUUCGGAUGUGACGAUGAUGACGGUAGCAUCUAAAGAAGCCCCGGCUAACUUCGUGCCAGCAGCUGCGGUAAUACGAAGGGGGCGAGCGUUGUUCGGAAUUACUGGGCGUAAAGGGUGUGUAGGCGGUUAUGUAAGAUAGCGGUGAAAUCCCGGGGCUUAACCUCGGAAUAGCCGUUAUAACUAUGUAGCUAGAGUUAUGGAGAGGAUAGCGGAAUACCCAGUGUAGAGGUGAAAUUCGUAGAUAUUGGGUAGAACACCGGUGGCGAAGGCGGCUAUCUGGCCAUAUACUGACGCUGAGGCACGAAAGCAUGGGGAUCAAACAGGAUUAGAUACCCUGGUAGUCCAUGCUGUAAACGAUGAAUGCUGGUUGUCGGCUUUAGGGUCGGUGACGAAGUUAACGCGAUAAGCAUUCCGCCUGGGGAGUACGGUCGCAAGAUUAAAACUCAAAGGAAUUGACGGGGACCCGCACAAGCGGUGGAGCAUGUGGUUUAAUUCGAUGCAACGCGAAGAACCUUACCAACUCUUGACAUCCUUAUCGGGGGGCACAGAGAUGAGCCCUUUCAGUUAGGCUGGAUAAGUGACAGAUGCUGCAUGGCUGUCGUCAGCUCGUGUCGUGAGAUGUUGGGUUAAGUCCCGCAACGAGCGCAACCCCUGCUAUCAGUUGCCAGCGAGUAAAGUUGGGCACUCUGAUAGGACUGCCGGUGACAAGCCGGAGGAAGGUGGGGAUGACGUCAAGUCAUCAUGGCUCUUACGAGUUGGGCUACACACGUGCUACAAUGGUAACUACAGAGGGGAGCGAGACCGCGAGGUUGAGCCAAUCUUAAAAAGUUAUCUCAGUUCGGAUUGUUCUCUGCAACUCGAGAACAUGAAGUUGGAAUCGCUAGUAAUCGCGGAUCAGCAUGCCGCGGUGAAUACGUUCCCG
rnacentral:rRNA from 1 species